GCAAGUCGAACGAUGAUGCCCAGCUUGCUGGGUGGAUUAGUGGCGAACGGGUGAGUAACACGUGAGUAACCUGCCCCUGACUCUGGGAUAAGCGUUGGAAACGACGUCUAAUACUGGAUAUGAUCACUGGCCGCAUGGUCUGGUGGUGGAAAGAUUUUUUGGUUGGGGAUGGACUCGCGGCCUAUCAGCUUGUUGGUGAGGUAAUGGCUCACCAAGGCGACGACGGGUAGCCGGCCUGAGAGGGUGACCGGCCACACUGGGACUGAGACACGGCCCAGACUCCUACGGGAGGCAGCAGUGGGGAAUAUUGCACAAUGGGCGAAAGCCUGAUGCAGCAACGCCGCGUGAGGGAUGACGGCCUUCGGGUUGUAAACCUCUUUUAGUAGGGAAGAAGCGAAAGUGACGGUACCUGCAGAAAAAGCACCGGCUAACUACGUGCCAGCAGCCGCGGUAAUACGUAGGGUGCAAGCGUUGUCCGGAAUUAUUGGGCGUAAAGAGCUCGUAGGCGGUUUGUCGCGUCUGCUGUGAAAUCCCGAGGCUCAACCUCGGGCUUGCAGUGGGUACGGGCAGACUAGAGUGCGGUAGGGGAGAUUGGAAUUCCUGGUGUAGCGGUGGAAUGCGCAGAUAUCAGGAGGAACACCGAUGGCGAAGGCAGAUCUCUGGGCCGUAACUGACGCUGAGGAGCGAAAGCAUGGGGAGCGAACAGGAUUAGAUACCCUGGUAGUCCAUGCCGUAAACGUUGGGCGCUAGAUGUAGGGACCUUUCCACGGUUUCUGUGUCGUAGCUAACGCAUUAAGCGCCCCGCCUGGGGAGUACGGCCGCAAGGCUAAAACUCAAAGGAAUUGACGGGGGCCCGCACAAGCGGCGGAGCAUGCGGAUUAAUUCGAUGCAACGCGAAGAACCUUACCAAGGCUUGACAUACACCGGAAACGGCCAGAGAUGGUCGCCCCCUUGUGGUCGGUGUACAGGUGGUGCAUGGUUGUCGUCAGCUCGUGUCGUGAGAUGUUGGGUUAAGUCCCGCAACGAGCGCAACCCUCGUUCUAUGUUGCCAGCGGGUUAUGCCGGGGACUCAUAGGAGACUGCCGGGGUCAACUCGGAGGAAGGUGGGGAUGACGUCAAAUCAUCAUGCCCCUUAUGUCUUGGGCUUCACGCAUGCUACAAUGGCCGGUACAAAGGGCUGCGAUACCGUAAGGUGGAGCGAAUCCCAAAAAGCCGGUCUCAGUUCGGAUUGAGGUCUGCAACUCGACCUCAUGAAGUCGGAGUCGCUAGUAAUCGCAGAUCAGCAACGCUGCGGUGAAUACGUUCCCGGGCCUUGUACACACCGCCCGUCAAGUCAUGAAAGUCGGUAACACCCGAAGCCGGUGGCCUAACCCUUGUGGAAGGAGCCGUCGAAGG
rnacentral:rRNA from 1 species